UCUUCAGGUGUCAUGGUGUCCGGAGAGAAGUGCCGCCAUCCCCCACCCGGGCAUGGCAGAUAUCUACGGGUGCCCACUAAAAAUCUGCCAAACUAACUAACACUGAAACACGUCAUGUUUAUUAUGUAUUACAUAUUUACAUGCAAUAAAAAGGAAAAACAGGACCCUGAGCGAAUACCCUAUUAUAUAUACCUACUACAUUAUGUACCUACCCGAACUCCCGUCAUUUUUUUUUAAUAGUUCUAUCACAGAAUAAUGAAUGAUUUCAUCUAUUCUGUGGUUCUAUGCUAGAAAUAUAAAAGAGAAAUGAUACAAGUUAUCACUUAUCAGUUAUCACUAAUAUAAUUUCUCAACAAAUCCAUUAAAAUGAAAAAAUUAAUUUAUCAUGGUCGAUAUUACCACAGAAUAGAUUAAAUACCACAAUAUUGCAUAUUAGGUACAUUAUGACGGUGAAUAAUGUCAUAAAGAUUAAAAUAUGAUGGUUGUUGGUUGCCGGUUUGAUACUUGGAAUUCGGAUUUGCAAACUAAAUAAUUUUUCAUCUUAUUAUUAGUUUCUUACUGUUCUUUUAUUUGUAUAAUUUUAAUCAAAAUGUAUACAAAUCAGUACACUCCUCAGUAUUCGCAAUACAAUCAACAAUAUCAGCAAUAUUCAUCUAAUUACUAUCAAAUGUAUAAUAAUUAUAACCAACAACCAGCUUAUAACACUCCACCUCCAACGCAGCAAACAGCUUCAACAUUUAUAAGCCCAAACGUGCCUGUCCAACAGCCACAAGCAUCAACUGCUGGACAAAAUGUUUCAAGUGUAUGGAUGGGAAGUUUGGAACCUUAUAUGACUGAGAGUUUCAUCACUGGUGCAUUUCAAAAGAUGGGAGAAUAUCCUAAGAAUGUUAAGUUGAUGCGCAAUAAAAAUACUGGUGAAACUGCUGGCUACGCAUUUGUUGACUUUUAUGAUCCAGUAUCUGUUAUGCAUAAACUGAAUGGAAAAUAUAUACCUGGUACUAAUCCACCUGUUAGAUUUAAACUCAAUCGUGCUGGGAAUCCUGGAAAAAUUACUACAAGUAAUAGAGAUUUUUCUGUGUGGUUAGGUGAGCUUAGCUCAGAUGUAGAUGACUAUCAGUUAUAUAAAACAUUUGCUUGUCGCUAUCAAUCUAUUCGUACAGCCAAAGUGGUCUUAGACAGUGCUGGUUACAGUAAAGGAUAUGGUUUUAUUCGUUUUGGCAGUGAAGAAGAGCAAAAACACUGUCUUAAUAAUAUGAAUGGUUUUCCAGGCCUUGGUUCCAAACCCAUAAAGGUUAGCAGUGUCAUACCAAAAUCAGAACAUCAUAUUGUUGUUAACUAUACUCAGACCAGCGAGAGAACGCUACUUCUUCACGCAUCUAAACGAAUAAACUCCGCUGUUAAAGACCUAAAUUUCUUUCAAUCUAUUAUCUACUCUCCGCUGUAAUUCCUACACUCACGGUGGUUGUUGUUUGAGCUGGUAAAGUGGUGGAAUGCGCGAAAAUGGAUGAGUUUUGGAUGCAGCCCAGUAACGUUUUCUCACUGGACUUUGUGUAAAUUACAUCAAAAACUCUCUUACCAAACAAAACAUCCACGAUCCACCUAUAUCCAAACCCUCAACAUACACAAAGUGCUUCAAAUGACUCUCAAGGAUACAAGGCUAGUCAAGAUUAUGGACAAUAUUUUGAAACUAAUUAUUGGCAUCGAUACUCAAUGUGGAGUCAACCUCAAAGUCAGAAA
rnacentral:misc_RNA from 1 species